AGGCCUGUAGCUCCAAUGGCUAGAGCAUCGGUCUCCAAAACCGAGUGUUGUAGGUUCGAGUCCUACCAGGCCUG
rnacentral:tRNA from 2 species